rnacentral:rRNA from 1 species
UACGGAGGGAGCUAGCGUUGUUCGGAAUUACUGGGCGUAAAGCGCGCGUAGGCGGCUUUGUAAGUUAGAGGUGAAAGCCCGGAGCUCAACUCCGGAACUGCCUUUAAAACUGCAUCGCUUGAUCCAGGAGAGGUGAGUGGAAGUUCCGAGUGUAGAGGUGAAAAUUCGUAGAUAUUCGGAGAACACCAGUGGCGAAGCGGCUCACUGGACUGGUAUUGACGCUGAGGUGCGCAAAGCGUGGGGAGCAACAGG